AUUGUAUUGAUUAUUCUUUGCUUAAACGUCUGUCUCCCUCACACACGCUAGCUCUCUUUCUCUCCCUCUCUGUCCCUCCCUCUCCUCUUUCUGCCUCUAUUCUGCCACCUUCCCUACUCACCGAUCAGCAUUUGGCUUUUUCCAUUUGUGGCAGAUUACUGUAACGCUAUUGUACAACAACUUCCUGCCUCUUUUGGCUGUGCUUCUUAAAAAAAAAAAAAAAAAAAAAAACAGAAACGGCACAGGCAGAGCAUCGUGACUUGAACUUUUUUUCCAUCUCGGCCUUGUACUGCAGGAGCACUGAAGGACAGAAAAGGAGGAAGGGGAUAUGUAAAGAGUGUUUUCUGUUACUGAGGAACUAUUCUGAGUGCAUUUCUGCUCUAUAAAACUGCUGAGAUGUAAAGAGGGGACUACAUGCCUAGCAGAGACAAUGAAAGAAAGAGAAAAAAAAAAAAAGAUUUGUAAAGAAGAAGAGGAGGAAAAGAGCAGGAGGAGAGUUUCUCCUGGGAUCAGACUGGAAAUUAUGGACCUAUUUGAUAUCAGAGCUCCGAGUGGACAACCUAUCCAAAGAGGGACGCGCCCUAACUGUAACUAACAACUACUUCUGGCAGCCCUUCAACAACCAAACAUAUUGUGCUCCAUGAGAGCAGCUUUCUGCAUGGCAGCAUCGACCUGGAGCAACUCAGGAAAGAAAUACAGAAUGAGGAUUAUAAUGCUAAUAAGAAUAAAUAAAUAUACAUAAAUACA